UCAAGUUACUAAGGGCGCAUAGUGGAUGCCUUGGCACCAGAAGCCGAUGAAGGACGUGGUUAACUGCGAUAAUCCCCGGUGAGGAGUAAACAUCUUUUGACCCGGGGGUUUCCGAAUCGGGAAACCGCUCCGGUUAAUAAUCGGAGACUCCAGUUUGAAUAAAAUAGAAUUGGAGAGGCAACGAGGCGAAGUGAAACAUCUCAGUAACCUCUGGAAAAGAAAGAGAAUUCGAUUUCCUCAGUAGUGGCGAGCGAAAUGGAAACAGCCUAAACUGCUUGUGCGUGAUAGGACGUACCCGUUGUACAAGCAGGGUAGCGGGGCUUAGUUGUCCUAUUGUACGUGAUGGAGAGAAGUUACCAAUGUAUGUCUUAGUCGAAUAGUCCUGGAAAAGGUUAACCGAAGAAGGUGACAGUCCUGUAGACGAAAAGAUGUACACUUCUUUGACUAAGUUCCCAAGUACCGCGAGACACGAGAAAUCUUGUGGGAAUCUGGCCGGACCACCGGCUAAGGCUAAAUACUCUCUGGUGACCGAUAGUGAACUAGUACCGUGAGGGAAAGGUGAAAAGGACCCGGGAACGGGAGUGAAAUAGAACCUGAAACUGUGUGCCUACAAGCAAUUCGAGCCCUAUAUCAGACGGAGGGCUUUAGACUAAGACUUUAGACUUUUUAAGGUUUUACCUUUUAAAGUUUUUUGUCCCGUGUCUGUUGUCUGAUGUCUGAGAUGGGUGAGAGUGUGCCUUUUGUAUAAUGAACCGGCGAGUUAUUUAGUGUAGCAAGGUUAAUUCCUUUAAAUCGGAAGGAGCCGUAGCGAAAGCGAGUCUUAAAUGGGCGAUAAGUUGCACUAAAUAGACCCGAAGCCAAGUGAUCUAUCCAUGGACAGGGUGAAGCCUCGAUAAAACGGGGUGGAGGCCCGAACUGUUUGAUGUUGAAAAAUCACUAGAUGAGCUGUGGAUAGGGGUGAAAGGCCAAUCUAACUUGGUAAUAGCUGGUUCUCCCCGAAAUAGUUUUGGGGCUAGCCUUGUAACUGAAACGAUGGGGGUAGAGCACUGGAUAGAGUAGGGGCCUUUCCGGGCUUCCAAAUCUAACCAAACUCCGAAUACCAUCGCGGUCCCGAUUUAUCGGGAUAAAUUACAGGAGUCAGACUGUGGGGGAUAAGCUCCAUAGUCGAGAGGGAAAGAGCCCAGACCAUCCGUUAAGGUCCCUAAUAUAGGCUAAGUGGUAAAGGAUGUAAGAUUACCCAGACAGCCAGGAAGUUGGCUCAGAAGCAGCCAUCCUUUAAAGAGUGCGUAACAGCUCACUGGUUAAGUGGUCUUGCGCCGAUAAUUUCCGGGGCUAAGUUUAUAACCGAAACGGUGGAUGCGUUAGUUCAUUUUAUGGACUGGCGUGUGGUAGGGGAGCGUUCCGUGGUAGGAUGAAGGCAGACCGUGAGGACUGCUGGACGAAACGGAAGUGAUUAUGCCGGUAUAAGUAGCGAAAAUUCCGAUGAGAAAUCGGGACGCCGAAAGUCUAAGGUUUCCUUGAGUAAAGCUAAUCUGCUCAGGGUUAGUCGGUCCUAAGUUGAGGCUGAAAAGCGUAGACGAUGGGCAGUCCGUUAAUAUUCGGACACUGCCAGAUUGGCGUUAAAAGCUGUGAGGUGACGCAGGGGGGUAGACCAUCUCUGAGAUGGAAUUCAGAGUUCACGUCCCCCCGAUUCUAUCGGGGGAGUGUGAGGAUUCCGAUGAAAAUCGGAAGAACUGGUUCAACCCACUGCCCAGAAAAACCUUUCAGUGAGCCAUUCUGGCAUCCGUACCGCAAACCGACACAGGUAGACGGGGUGAGAAUCCUAAGGCGCUCGAGAGAACUCUCGUUAAGUAACUCGGCAAAUUAACCCCGUAACUUCGGAAGAAGGGGUGCUCCGAUAGCCCGUAAGGGCAUAUCGGAGUCGCAGUGAAAUGGCCCAGGCGACUGUUUAACAAAAACACAGGACUCUGCUAACUCGUAAGAGGAUGUAUAGGGUCUGACGCCUGCCCGGUGCUGGAAGGUUAAGGGAAGAGGUUACUUCCCGAUUUAUCGGGAGGAAAGCUUCGAGCCGAAGCCCCAGUAAACGGCGGCCGUAACUAUAACGGUCCUAAGGUAGCGAAAUUCCUUGUCGGGUAAGUUCCGACCCGCACGAAUGGCGCAACGAUCUGGGCACUGUCUCAACGAGAGACUCGGCGAAAUUGUGAUCCCGGUGAAGACGCCGGGUACCCGCAACGGGACGGAAAGACCCCGGGAGCUUUACUGUAACUUAAUAUUGGAUUGUGGAGUAAUUUGUAGAGGAUAGGUGGGAGACGGUGAAGUUCCGACGCUAGUCGGAAUGGAGUCAACCUUGGAAUACCACCCUUAUUGUUUUGUGGUCCUAACCUACGGCCGUGAAUCCGGUCGGGGAACAGUGUUAGGCGGGCAGUUUAACUGGGGCGGUUGCCUCCUAAAGAGUAACGGAGGCGUCCAAAGGUUUCCUCAGCGUGAAUAGAAAUCACGUGUCGAGUGUAAAGGCAUAAGGAAGCUUGACUGUGACCCAGACAUGGGGAGCAGGUGCGAAAGCAGGGCUUAGUGAUCCGGCGGUUUAGUGUGGAAUUGCCGUCGCUCAACGGAUAAAAGCUACCCCGGGGAUAACAGGCUUAUCUCCCCCAAGAGUUCACAUCGACGGGGAGGUUUGGCACCUCGAUGUCGGCUCAUCGCAUCCUCCUGCUGAAGUAGGUGGGAAGGGUUUGUCUGUUCGCCAAUUAAAGCGGUACGUGAGCUGGGUUCAGUACGUCGUGAGACAGUACGGUCCCUAUCUGUUGCGGGCGCAGGAUAUUUGAGAGAAGCUGACCCUAGUACGAGAGGACCGGGUUGGACGAACCUCUGGUGUACCAGUUGUUCUGCCAAGAGCAUAGCUGGGUAGCUAUGUUCGGAUGAGAUAAACGCUGAAAGCAUAUAAGCGUGAAGCUCACCUCAAGAUUAGAUAUCCCUCCCGAUGAAUAAUCGGGACUAAAGACCCCUUGGAGACUACAAGGUUGAUAGGCCAGCGGUGUAAGCUCAGUGAUGAGUUUAGCUUACUGGUACUAAUCGGUCGUGAGGCUUGACCA
rnacentral:rRNA from 1 species